GACGAACGCUGGCGGCGUGCUUAACACAUGCAAGUCGAACGGAAAGGCCCUGCUUUUGUGGGGUGCUCGAGUGGCGAACGGGUGAGUAACACGUGAGUAACCUGCCCUUGACUUUGGGAUAACUUCAGGAAACUGGGGCUAAUACCGGAUAGGAGCUCCUGCUGCAUGGUGGGGGUUGGAAAGUUUCGGCGGUUGGGGAUGGAUUCGCGGCUUAUCAGCUUGUUGGUGGGGUAGUGGCUUACCAAGGCUUUGACGGGUAGCCGGCCUGAGAGGGUGACCGGCCACAUUGGGACUGAGAUACGGCCCAGACUCUUACGGGAGGCAGCAGUGGGGAAUAUUGCACAAUGGGCGGAAGCCUGAUGCAGCAACGCCGCGUGCGGGAUGACGGCCUUCGGGUUGUAAACCGCUUUCGCCUGUGACGAAGCGUGAGUGACGGUAAUGGGUAAAGAAGCACCGGCUAACUACGUG
rnacentral:rRNA from 1 species